GGGCUUCGGGUGAGGGCCUCUGGUCACCUCCCACCCGUGUUUAUUUACCUUGUUGCUUCGGCGAGCCUGCCUUUUGGCUGCCGGGGGACGUCAGUCCCCGGGUCCGUGCUCGCCGGAGACACCUUAGAACUCUGUCUGAAGAUUGUAGUCUGAGAUUAAAUAUAAAUUAUUUAAAACUUUCAACAACGGAUCUCUUGGUUCCGGCAUCGAUGAAGAACGCAGCGAAAUGCGAUACGUAAUGUGAAUUGCAGAAUUCAGUGAAUCAUCGAGUCUUUGAACGCACAUUGCGCCCUCUGGUAUUCCGGAGGGCAUGCCUGUCCGAGCGUCAUUGCUGCCCUCAAGCACGGCUUGUGUGUUGGGCCCCGUCCUCCUUCCGGGGGACGGGUCCGAAAGGCAGCGGCGGCACCGCGUCCGGUCCUCAAGCGUAUGGGGCUUUGUCACUCGCUUUGUAGGCCUGGCCGGCGCUUGCCGAUCAACCAAACUUUUUAUCAGGUUGACCUCGGAUCAGGUAGGGAUACCCGCUGAACUUAAGCAUAUCA
rnacentral:rRNA from 1 species